rnacentral:lncRNA from 1 species
GGGAAGGAAUUCGUGAAGAAGCAAGAGUCUUAUAUGUAAGGAUGUUAAUACCAUGUGAUAAAAUAUAAUCUAAAAGAGAUUAAACAGGAGUUCUCACUGUGGUGCAGCAGAAAUGAAUCCGACUAGGAACCAUGAGGUUGCAAGUUCGAUCCCUGGCCUCGCCCAGUGGGUUGAGGAUCUGAUGUUCCUGUAAGCUGUAGUGUAGGUCACAGACAUGCUCGGAUCUGGCAUUGCUGUGGUUGUGGUGUAGGCUGGCAGCUGUAGCUCCAAUUAGACCCCUAGCCUUGGAAUAUCUCUAAGUGUGGCCCUAAAAAGACAAAGACAAAAAAUCAAACAAACAAAAGAUUAAACAGUGGAAACCAUCUUGUUAAUUUACUGUAUUUUUUAUGUUAUUAAAAGUCUGACUCUAUUAGGGAGAUGAAAUAAUUACCACCUUCAAAAUGUAGACAACAAAAAUGUUAGGGUCAAAUGCAGUAGUUAUGAAAUUCUGGACCUCAUUGAAUAACUGUUCUGUUCAUCAAUGGAAUCUGAGGUGGGUUAUAUGUUUUUGUUUCAUGUCUUAUUGACAGUUUCAUUUUGGUGAAAGUCAAGGCAAUCAGAGCAACCAGUUUUUACCUUGUUCUGAUGAAUAGAUUGUGAUUCAUGAAGUAAAAUAAUGGGGAACUUAAAAGAUUUGUGAAAGCAGGAUAAGACUAUAAGUGCAAUGUGAUGGGAAAAGAAGAUUAUGCAAAGACAAAUUUUUAAAUUCUCAAGAGUAAAGCGAUUUUUGUUUCUCAUGAUGUGUAUUUGAAAAAGAAACAAAUGAACACGACUUCAUACUUGCACAAUGACUCCUGAGACCUUCGAUUACAUCUUAAAGAGACUCAUGUGAUUAAGCUGAGGUCCUCUGUCUAUUACACAUUUCAAAAAUAUAUUUGCAAGUAUGAAUGAGCAACAGAAAAAUUUUAUCAGGAAUAAUAUAAUAGAGUCACAAGGAUAACUAAGCAUCCUUAAGAGGGUUAAAGCUAAAAGGCAGAUAAAGUUUGUCAUUCAAAAAAAAAAAAAAAACAAACAAAAAAAACUAUACACAAGAAAUUAUGAAUAACGUAAGAUGUGUUGGAAUGUGUACUGUUUAUGUUUCCUCUUCUGUAAGAAGAUUAAGCAAAUUAUGUAUUCCUACUCAGUGUGAUGUGAGUUACACUGCCUUCUUGUGAAAGGAAUAAAUUUCUCCUUCCCAGUGAGAGCAGGGCAGAGCGUGUCACUUCUUUGGCCAGUGGUAAGCAAUCAGAAGUGACAGUAUGGUGACUCUGAGUCGAAACUUUUAAGAGUCAUUACUUUUUCUCCGUCUCUCUUUUUAUUUUUCCUCUGGAAUGAAAAGAAUUUGUUACAUGUGCAGAGUGCUCUCUUUCAGUUUGGAUCCUGGAAUGAGGACAAUAGAAGAGAGCCAAACAGAGCUAAAGCUAACCUGCAGUAUGAGGAAGAUAGAAUCUCUGUUUUCAUAAAAUGUUGGCAUUAUUGAGUAGCUGUUAUCCAGUAAUAUCGUGUUCUUAUAUAACUAUAACUAUAUAUAUAUAUAUAAAUAAAACACAUAUAUAUGCCUUUUAUAAUUAUGUUUCAAAUAUAUAUAUACAGAUAUACACAAAUAAUAGAAAUGAAGAAAUCUGUAAAAUGCAACAUUGUCUUUUAUCUGUUUAUUACCACAAUCUUUAGAUUGAGAAAAAAUAGAUUAUAUGUCAAUAUGAAAACAAAUAGACCCUUGGAAAGGGAGGAGCUAUUUAGAGAACACAUAGCCAUUACUAUUUCCUAGUUUGGGAAGGAGACAGUCAUUUUUAAGUUCUGUGGUAAAAGAGAAAAACAAUAAUGGAAUCCAAAAAGCUAGCAUUAAAAAUAUUUUGACUGAUUUUGUUUUUUAAAGGAGGUGAGCUAUCCUUUAAUUAAAUAUGUUUUAUGUAAAGCAUAUCAUGGAUGUGUGUGAAUAUUUAGUAAAGAAAUAUGUAACAAAAAAAGAGAGAAGGAUAAAUUCAUAGAGAAUUAUUAAGUCAGACAGAGGACAGUUCUUUUGAGAUAGAGCUAUUCCAUCUGUUCUAUCUAAAUAAUAAACCUGCAAUGCCUCUGAAUUUCAAUAAAGCACAUGUUAAAAAUUUUAGGUGUGUAAAUAUACUAAAGUAAAAAUUUACUUGGACAAUUUAAGUGUAAAUUAUUUAAUGACUUCCUAACCACUGAGUCAUUUUACUCUAAAGCUGAGUGGUACAUUGGUAUAUUGUUAUUCAGAUUUUAGCACUGCCCUCACCAUCUCAGAGAGGCCUUCCAUAGUCAUCCAGUCUAAAAUUUCCUUCCUCAUUGCUGCGUUACACUGUUUACUUAUUUUCUUAGUUUUCUUUUUUAAAAUCAGCUUUAUUGAGUUAUAAUCUACAUAUCAUACAAUUUAUCCAUUUAAGCUCUACAACUCAGUUUUUAUUAGUAUAUUCGCAUAUUUGUGCAAUUCUCAACACAGCCAAUUUUAGAAUAUUUCAUUGCCUCCCAAAGAAACCCUGUUCUUUAGUUUUAAGUCCUCUUUCCUAUCAUCUGGGGGGAUAAAGAGAUAGCUUUAUUACUUCUUUUCCCAUCUAGAUGCAUUCUUUUUCUUGCCAAAUUUUCCUAGUUACAACUUCCAUUAAAUUCCAAUAAAUUGUUAAUAAUAAAAGUAGCAAGAGAAGACAUCCUUAUCAUUACUUUAGGAAAAAGGAUCUCUUUUCACUGUUAAGUAAUAAUGCUAUUUGUGAGUUUUUCAUAGAUACUCUUUAUCAAGUUGAGAAAGUUCCCUGCUAUUCCUAGUUUUAUUUAAUUUUUUGGAGUGUUUUUAUCAAGAAACAAUUUUGUUUUUGAUCAAAUGCUUUUUCUUGUAUCUAUUGAGGUAAUCAUGCUGAAUAAUAUGCCAUUGUAUAUACAUAUACAUUUAAGCUGUUUCCAUGUCUUGUCUAUUGUGAAUAGUACUGCAGUUAUCAUAACAGUGCAGAUAUCUCUUCAAGAUCAUGAUUUAAAUUUUUAAAUACCAAGAAGUAGGAUUGUUUGAUCAUAUGAUUGUUGUAUUUUUAAAUUUUUGUAGAAUUUCCAGGCUGUUUUCUAUAGGAGCUGCACCAUUUUCCAUUCCUACUUUCAAUGUACAGAUUAAUCUCUCCUACACCAGAUUAAUCUCUCACCAACACCUUUCUUUCUUUCUUUUUUUUUUUUUUUUUUCAUUGUAUUAUAGCUAUCCUGACAGGUAUGAAGUUAUAUCUGGUCAUGGCUUUAAUUGCAUUUCCUUGAGGAUUGGUGAUGUUGAACAUCUUUUGCAUGUGUUCCUUGGUGUGAUAUCUGUUCAAGUCCAUAGCCCAUUUUUAAUUGGGUUUUGUGGUUUUUGUUUUUUAUUAAGUGUUUGAGUUCCUUAUAUAUUUUGGAUAAUAACCCCUUAUCAAAUACAUGAUAUGUAAAUAUUUUCUCCCAUUCCAUAUAUUGACUUUUCAUUAUGUUGACUGUAGAAGCUUUUCAGUGUGAUGUAAUCUUACUUGACUAUUUUUGCUUGUAUUUCUUGGGCCUUUGGUAUCAUUUCCAAGGAAUGACUGCCGAGAAAAAUAUCCUUAAAUUUUCCCCCUUUGUUUUCUUCUUAGAAUUUUACAGGGCUAGGUCUUAUAAUUAAAUUUUAAUCCAUUUUUUUAGGGUUUGUGUGUGUUUGUGUGUGUGUGUGUGUGUGUGUGUAUGUGUGGCACAAGGGUCCCAUUUCAACUUUUCACAUGUGGAUAUUCAGUUUUCCCUGCACUGUUUCUUAAGAGACUAUUCCUUCUCCACUGUGUAUUCUUAAUACUUUUGUUGAACAUCAGGUGGACUGUAUGUGUUUGAGUUUAAUUCUGGGUUUUUGAUUCUGUUACAUUGGUCUAUACGUCUGCCUUUAUGCCAGUACUAUACUGUUUUUAUUGCUAUGACUUUGUAAUGCAUUUUGAAAUCAGAAAAUGUGAUGCUUCCUGCUUCGUUCUUCUUUCUCAAGAUUGCUUUGGCUAUUUGGGAUCUUUUGUGAUUCCGUGUAGCAUUUAGGAUUAUUUCCUCUACUUCUGUAAUGUUCAUGUAUUUAUUCUGGCCUUUUCAUUUCAGUACUUAGCUAUAAUACUUAGUGAUCUUGAUUGUCUUCUUUAGCAUUUUCAUCCUAGUACAGUGCUAGGAAAAUAGUGGGUUUCUCAAAAGUACUUAUCGAAUAGAAGGAAGGGAAACAAAACAGGGAAGAAGGAAGAGAGAGACGGGAUCAAUAUAUAGAAAGUCUCUGGCUAGCCUCACUGGUGAAGAUGAUGAAAAUAAUGAUGAACACAAUGGUGAAAAAAGCAACCAACAGUGGUUAUUAAAUCAACAGUGGAAAAUGUUUAGGACCCUUGAGAAGAACUAAAGAUGGUUAUAAAUUCUAGAAUGCCAAAUCCUAACUUUAUCAAUCAUUUAACAAAUGGUAUUCUGAUUCAUUCACAUCAUUGGUAUAAUUAAUACUUAUUGAACAUAGUGUAUGUGCCAGGUACAGUGAUACAGAGGUAAAAUUAUAUGUUAAUUGCACUUAGGAGCUUUAGAAAAUCAGCCUCUUCCAUUCUGGGGGAAGAAAUUGGGACGGCUAGAGCCCAGUAACUGAAUAAAAAUAAGUUUAAAUAUCGAAGAUGUGUUUCUAAAGAAAAAACUGAAUGAUGUGACAAUUGUUUAUUUAGACUAAGAUUCAAAGCAUCAUCUGUUUUUCUCUAAAGCGUUUGUUAAUCAUUAAAAUAAAUUUAUAUUCUUUUAAACACUAAAGGUGUAGAUACCCUACAACAUUUUCAUUUUCUUAAAAAUAGCAUUUAAUAAGUUUGUACUAAGCUAAUUAGCCCAUACUCUAAAUUACUCAGUGUACUGCAUUUGUGGCCUGCUAUGUCUAAUAGCAAAUAUUAUUUUAAUCACUACUAUGAUAAUAAUGUUUUGACUGGAGUAUGCUAUGAAAGUUAAAAAAAUAUGUUUAAAUUUGUUCUAAAAAUCACGUUUGCUAAUUUUCUUAUUCAAAACAUCCCAUUAUGCUCUAAGAAUCAAAUGAGUGUUCUACAUGUACUAUUUGGUGUUUAAUGCAUUUUUACUUUUACUUAAUUCCAAAUACAUGAAUACCCCCAGGUAUCACUAACCUAGUGUAACAAAAAUGUAGGUUUUUCUAUAUUUCAAAUAAUAAAUGGUUACGUAAGGCAAAACAACUUCAGAGCUUAUUGUUUGUAUUUUAGAGCCAGCUCUAAAUGGAAUAGCGAGCACACAUGCAAAAAAAAAAGCAAAACUCACAAUGAGUAUAAACAUAACCUAUUUAGAAUAAAUACUUCAAUCUAAGACAUAGGUGCUUUGUCAAUGGCUUUAAUUGGAAGAAAGGAGGUUUGCAACCACUCAAAGUAAAAUAUGAUGGCUCGUGUCAGAGUGUUAUGAAACAUAUUCUUCUUAAGGGCAGAGGGGGGAAAGGAAUGAAAAACAUGAUGGACCUUGAAUAACAGCUCAACAGUAAUGCUGUAUAAUUGCUUUUCAUCCUUUCUAUCAGCAGUGAAGCUUUAAAACAUUGAUCAAAGAUGAUGACUAUCACAAAGUGCUUAGAGUGCAGCACAUUGUUAAAUUUCCUGAGCUUCUGAAAUAAUUAUAGCAUGAGCAAGCAUAAAGAUGAUUCUCCCACCUUCACCCGCCUUCCUCAAAUGAUUUUCUAGCCAAAGUAGAGGGGAUUAAAAGAAAUCUGACAUGAAUGAGCUACAUUAGAACAUCAAUGUCAAAAGAUAUCACGGGCACCUGCCUCAAAAGGAUGAAAAUACCGUGAAUAAUUUCACAUUAUUUCACACCAGAAUUCGGUCACCCUCCUUGCUGACAAACAAGUUGCUCAAGUAAAGGACACAGAGCAUACCCAGUGGAUAAGAAAGUACAACACAGAAAUUAGAAAUGCUCCCUGAUGAUGUCAAAAAGAUAGCUCUUGUCUGCUAAGACUAUACAGCUAAAGAAAUGAUGGAGACAAAAAAAAAAAAAAAAAAAAAA